rnacentral:rRNA from 1 species
GACGAACGCUGGCGGCGUGCUUAACACAUGCAAGUCGAACGGAAAGGCCUGCUUUCCCUUGUGGAUUGCGGUUACUCGAGUGGCGAACGGGUGAGUAACACGUGAGUGAUCUGCCCCCAACUUGGGUAUAAGCCUGGGAAACUGGGUCUAAUUCCCGAUAGGACUGCAGGGUGGUGCCUGUGGUGGAAAACGAUUUUCUAGUGGUUGGGGAUGAGCUCGCGGCCUAUCAGCUUGUUGGUGGGGUAAUGGCCUACCAAGGCGGCGACGGGUAGCCGGCCUGAGAGGGUGGACGGCCACAUUGGGACUGAGAUACGGCCCAGACUCCUACGGGAGGCAGCAGUGGGGAAUAUUGCACAAUGGGCGGAAGCCUGAUGCAGCGACGCCGCGUGGGGGAUGACGGCCUUCGGGUUGUAAACUCCUUUCGACCGCGAGGAAGCCACCUGGUUGGAAGGGUGGUGACGGUAGUGGUAGAAGAAGCACCGGCUAACUACGUG